GUUGAAAAACCAGUGUCCGUAGGAUUACUGUAGUUAAACAACUUCGCGCCUGGUCAGUAUUUAGAUGGGUGACCGCUUGGAAAUAUCAGGUGCUGUAAG